rnacentral:rRNA from 1 species
CCUACGGGUGGCAGCAGUGAGGAAUAUUGGUCAAUGGCCGGAAGGCUGAACCAGCCAAGCCGCGUGAAGGACGAAGGUGCCAAGCAUUGUAAACUUCUUUUGUCAAGGGACAAAAUCAGGCUCGAGAGCCUGACCGAGGGUACUUGAAGAAAAAGCAUCGGCUAACUCCGUGCCAGCAGCCGCGGUAAUACGGAGGAUGCGAGCGUUAUCCGGAUUUAUGGGGUGUAAAGGGUGCGUAGGCGGACUGUUAAGUCAGCGGUAAAAGCCCGGGGCUAAACCCCGGCGAGCCGUUGAAAAUGGCUGUCUUGAGAUGUGGAGAGGUAUGCGGAAUGCGCAGUGUAGCGGUGAAAUGCUUAGAUAUUGCGCAGAACUCCGAUUGCGAAGGCAGCAUACCGGCGGCGAUCUGACGGUGAGGCACGAAAGCGUGGGUAGCGAACAGGAUUAGAUACCCGAGUAGUC